GGCGGACGGGUGAGUAACGCGUAAGAACCUGCCCUUGGGAGGGGAACAACAGCUGGAAACGGCUGCUAAUACCCCAUAGGCUGAGGAGCAAAAGGAGGAAUCCGCCCAAGGAGGGGCUCGCGUCUGAUUAGUUAGUUGGUGAGGCAAUGGCUUACCAAGGCGACGAUCAGUAGCUGGUCCGAGAGGAUGAUCAGCCACACUGGGACUGAGACACGGCCCAGACUCCUACGGGAGGCAGCAGUGGGGAAUUUUCCGCAAUGGGCGAAAGCCUGACGGAGCAAUGCCGCGUGAAGGCAGAAGGCCCACGGGUCAUGAACUUCUUUUCUCGGAGAAGAAAAAAUGACGGUAUCUGAGGAAUAAGCAUCGGCUAACUCUGUGCCAGCAGCCGCGGUAAGACAGAGGAUGCAAGCGUUAUCCGGAAUGAUUGGGCGUA
rnacentral:rRNA from 1 species